GCAAGUCGAACGGUAACAGGAAUUAGCUUGCUACCCGCUGACGAGCGGCGGACGGGUGAGUAAUGCUUGGGAAGCUGCCCGAUAGAGGGGGAUAACAGUUGGAAACGACUGCUAAUACCGCAUAACCUCUUUUCUUUUCGAAGAAGGGAGCAAAGCGGGGGAUCUUCGGACCUCGCGCUACCGGAUGUGCCCAAGUGGGAUUAGCUAGUUGGUGGGGUAAUGGCUCACCAAGGCGACGAUCCUUAGCUGGUCUGAGAGGAUGAUC
rnacentral:rRNA from 1 species